AGGCCGGUCAUCGGAAUGGGUACAAUUUAAACCCUUUAACGAGUAUCUAUGAGAGGGCAAGUCUGGUGCCAGCAGCCGCGGUAAUUCCAGCUCUCAAAGUGCAUAGAAUUAUUGCUGCGGUUAAAAAGCUCGUAGUUGGAUCUGUGCCAUAGGACGGGGUCCACCUUCGGGUGCGUACUCCGCUCCUAGGCUUUUUGCUGGUUUUCCCGUCGUAGCCUUCACUGGUUGCGGCGGGUGGCUGGCGAGUUUACUUUGAGAAAAUCAGAGUGCUCAAUACAGGCGUCUAGCUUGAAUGAUUGUGCAUGGAAUAAUAGAAAAGGAUUUCGGUCCUCUUUUAUUGGUUUUGUGGACUGAGAUAAUGGUUAACAGGGACAAACGGGGGCAUUCGUAUCGCUGCGUGAGAGGUGAAAUUCUUGGACCGUAGCGAGACGCCCUACUGCGAAAGCAUUUGCCAAGAAUGUCUUCAUUAAUCAAGAACGAAAGUCAGAGGUUCGAAGGCGAUCAGAUACCGCCCUAGUUCUGACCGUAAACGAUGCCAACUAGCGAUCCGCCGGUGGAUUUUUAGCCCUGGUGGGUAGCUUCCCGGAAACGAAAGUCUUCCGGUUCCGGGGGAAGUAUGGUUGCAAAGCUGAAACUUAAAGGAAUUGACGGAAGGGCACCACCAGGAGUGGAGCCUGCGGCUUAAUUUGACCCAACACGGGGAAACUCACCCGGCCCGGACACCGUAAGGAUUGACAGAUUGAUAGCUCUUUCAUGAUUCGGUGGUUGGUGGUGCAUGGCCGUUCUUAGUUCGUGGAUCGAUUUGUCUGGUUUAUUCCGAUAACGAGCGAGACUCUAGCCUACUAAAUAGUAACGAGAUUGCCAUUGUCUUAGUUGCUUCUUAGAGGGAUUUUCGGUGUUUAGCCGCACGAGAUUGAGCAAUAACAGGUCUGUGAUGCCCUUAGAUGUCCGGGGCUGCACGCGCGCUACACUGGCGAAAUCAGCGUGCUGUAUCCAUUCUCGAAAGAGAUUGGUAAACCCAUGAAAAUUUGCCGUGCUUGGGAUCGGAAAUUGCAAUUAUUUUCCGUGAACGAGGAAUUCCAAGUAAGUGCGAGUCAUCAACUCGCUCUGAUUACGUCCCUGCCCUUUGUACACACCGCCCGUCGCUGCCCGGGACUGAGCCAUUUCGAGAAGAUCAGGGACCGGUGGGCUGUGGCCUCUUCGGAGGUUCGGUCCGUUGGAAACUGAUUUGAUCGCAGUGGCUUGAACCGGGCAAAAGUCGU
rnacentral:rRNA from 1 species